rnacentral:rRNA from 1 species
UACGGAGGGGGCUAGCGUUGUUCGGAAUUACUGGGCGUAAAGAGCUCGUAGGCGGCUUGGCAAGUCGGGUGUGAAACCUCCAGGCUCAACCUGGAGACGCCACUCGAUACUGCCAUGGCUAGAGUCCGGUAGGGGACCACGGAAUUCCUGGUGUAGCGGUGAAAUGCGCAGAUAUCAGGAGGAACACCGGUGGCGAAGGCGGUGGUCUGGGCCGGCACUGACGCUGAGACACGAAAGCGUGGGUAGCAAACAGG